CCUUAACUGACGCUGAGGCACGAAAGCAUGGGUAGCAAACAGGAUUAGAUACCCUGGUAGUCCAUGCUGUAAACGAUGAUUGCUAGGUGUGGGUGGACUGACCCCAUCCGUGCCGGAGUCAACACAAUAAGCAAUCCACCUGGGGAGUACGGCCGCAAGGUUAAAACUCAAAGGAAUUGACGGGGGCCCGCACAAGCAGUGGAGUAUGUGGUUUAAUUCGACGCAACGCGAAGAACCUUACCAAGGCUUGACAUGCAGAUGAAUACCUAAGAAAUUAGGUAGGCCUUCGGGACAUCUGUGCAGGUGAUGCAUGGUUGUCGUCAGCUCGUGUCGUGAGAUGUUAGGUUAAGUCCUGCAACGAGCGCAACCCACGUGUUUAGUUGCCACGGAAAGUGGAACUCUAAACAGACUGCCGUAGUCAAUACGGAGGAAGGUGUGGAUGACGUCAAAUCAUCACGUCCCUUACGUCUUGGGCCACACACGUACUACAAUGGCUAUCACAGAAAGAUGCGAACUCGUAAGAGUAAGCGAAACUAAUAAAAGUAGUCGUAGUUCGGAUUGAAGGCUGAAACUCGCCUUCAUGAAGCUGGAAUUGCUAGUAAUCACAGGUCAGCAUACUGUGGUGAAUACGUUCCCGGGCCUUGUACACACCGCCCGUCACACCAUGAGAGUUGGAAAUACUUGAAGUCCAUGAAUAAUGGCCGAAGGUAGGUCUAAUGAUUGGGGUGAAGUCGUAACAAGGUAACCAA
rnacentral:rRNA from 1 species